GACGAACGCUGGCGGCGUGCUUAACACAUGCAAGUCGAACGGAAAGGCCCGGAUGUUGUGGGGUGCUCGAGUGGCGAACGGGGGAGUAACACGUGAGUAACCUGCCCUUGACUUGGGGAUAAAUUCAGGAAACUGGGGCUAAUACCGGAUAGGAGCUCGUGCUGCAUGGUGGGGGUUGGAAAGUUUCGGCGGUUGGGGAUGGACUCGCGGCGUAUCAGCUUGUUGGUGGGGUAGUGGCUUACCAAGGCUUUGACGGGUAGCCGGCCUGAGAGGGUGACCGGCCACCUUCUCACUGAGAUCCCUCCCCGCCUCCUCCUGGCGCCAGCCGUGCUCCCUCUUGCACGCUCGGCGGAAGCCUGCUGCAUCCCCUCCGCGUGCGGGCUGACGGCCUUCGGGUUCUCAACCUCUUUCGCCUGUGACGACGCGUGCGUGACGGUACUGGGUAAAGACGCACCGGCUAACUACGUG
rnacentral:rRNA from 1 species